rnacentral:lncRNA from 1 species
GUUGUAAUAAGGUUUUACUACAGCCACUACUGCACUACAGUCGAAAAAUAUACAAAACAUUGGAAUAUAAACACUUUUUUCUGUACAGGUAACAAGGAAAGAAAUUCUACAGCAGUCAACGAGGAGACGGAAGAAUCAAAUAAUCUUUCAGUUGGCACAAUUGUGGGUAUAGUUGUAGCCGCAGUAAUUCUAAUCAUUGCAAUAAUUAUUGGCGUAUAUUAUAAAAAGAUAAAAGAUUAUUUACAAUGUGUGGACCGUCCUCCCACACCUCCCCCAAUUAGUUAUGACCAUGGCGUUGAUAAUGAUGACGUGUACACAACCACUGGUCGGCAUGCACGUCUUGACCAGUAGUUGGAUUCAACUUAUGAUACUUUACCACAUGCACAUAGAGUCGAAAUAUAGAGACAGGAAAUUCUGUCAAAAUAUGAAGUACCAAUAGCACUGUUGUCCAUUGUGUCACUGAUGUAAACAUGAAUGCAUUCUCCAGCUAAUUCAAAAAAGGCUUUCCUUUGCAAAUCUUAAACUCUAAACCUUAAACACUAAGCGUGCAAAGCAAAUAGGAGCAUCAUUUAAUCAGUUUAGAAAUCAUAUACAGUAUAGGGCCUAUUUCUUAUAUUAGAGACAUGAUAAUUAAAAUAUCUCCUUUCGAGAACAAUUCAUUCACAAAUAGCUGCAAUAUUUAACUACUAUAAGGCGAGACUUUUUUUAUUUAUUGGUUUACGGAUUUUACUUGGAAAAAACACAGGUCGGUAGGUCGGAAAAAAAUAAAAAAAAAACAUUGUUUUUUAAGAUUGUCAUCACGAUAACAUGAGCCAGUAGUACUCUAGAGUCAAAGUUUACUUGGCGUGUACUUCAUGUCAGAACCCCAAAUUAACUAAAAUUAACUAAAAUUGUUGACAUCCAAUUUUUUUUUAUUUUUCACUUUCCGAAUAUUUACGGUCGACGGAUCCGUAAACCAAUGAAUAAAAAAAGUCUCGCCUAAGCUUGAAACUCGUGCUCCCAUUAAGCUUUGCACGCUUAGAGUUUAAGGUUUAAGGUUUAGCGUUUCGGGUUUGCACAGGACAACCUUUUUUGAAUUUUGAAUUAGCUGUAUAUAUAACGCAAUAACUGUAAUAUAGUAUUUAAUAGCUAGCAGCUGUAUAUAGAGGUUCUUGCGCAUGCUCGGAGCCAAAUGCCGUUGAAAAGGUAGCCAAAAUCUACCAAAAGAGGCCAAACGACAAAAAAGGACCGAAAAACGUUAUGCAUGGGAAUUGCAAGUUAAUUACAGCUGACAAAGGUAUAGUAAGACAGUGGUUGUACUUUCACAUACGUCGUUUACGCGUUCUGAACACUUUAACCCUCUGUAUACAGCUACUUAAAACACUUUAUUUAAACCUGGUUCCUUUGUCCAGCUAACGGUAUCUAAAAGGUACCUAUUACAUGAUUCAACACAGUAGAAAAUGUCAACUUACUUGACUAAAUGUGACGAAUAGUUCAAGACCAGUAUAUCUUUAUAAUAUCUUAGUGUUCACAUUAUAGUAUAUCCUUUUGAUAUCUCAGUGUAGCUCUUUAUAUAAACGACGAACUAACAAUAACUCCGACUUAGCACGGCCUGCAUUUUUAUACUCGGUCAAGCAUGCACUCACCAUAAAUUAUCAUAUAGAAUAAAUUAGCUCUCGCAUCUACAGUGGAGUGAUGGACCAGUCAGAAUAUCAUGAGAAAAUAUAUUUUGAGUAUGCUUAGUGAUGACGUUUUUCUGUGUCUUCACCACUGCUGCACGACAAGCUAUGGCAGCAUCGACCUAGAGCCUUCAUUCACAUGUGAAGACUGCACUUUAAAGGGCCUAUAAUCACGUGCAAAAAUUAUUGAGACAACAAUUCAAUUUCCCCCCCCCCCCCCCGAAAAAAGUAUGACAUAAAGGUCAACUCCAAUUUUUUCUCAGCAUUGUCUGCUUGGGGCAGGCAGGGUGGGAUGAACUUAUAUUUGCACUUGAUGUAGCCUAGGCUCUACCUAUGGGUAGUAUAUAUCAGAAACACUUACUUUAAGACAGUUUGAGCUAAGUUAAAGGACAAUGGCAACAAAAAAGAACUCUCAUUUGAAAGAACUUUAAAAUUACCUAUAAAAUCUUGUUACAGAUUUUUCAUACCUAUAAUGUUGUUGUUUUGUUUAAAACUAUCAAUGUGACAAUACAAUAUUGAUUUGAUUACAAUGCCGUCCUACGCCCCUGUCAUGCAAUCCUGUUUCUCUCGCGCAUGUCCUUUUGCCAUGUGACAUUCUCAUAUGACUUUGUCUAGGUCACAAUACUACAUCCCUUUCUUCUUUUUAGAAGAGAACAUCUAUAUUAAUUAAUUAAACAAAUUGUACCUCAAGUUUGUUUAGGUUUAUAAUAUGUCUGUAAACUAUUUAUAAAAAUCCGGACCCCUUCUGUUCCGAGUGGGGUGUCUACGCAGCAGUUCUAUGUCAGGCAGAACAUCAUCAAAAUCAUGGUGCUUUGAUCUUUGCGGUGGCUUUUACUAUUUGCAGUGAUCAUUGUCCCUGAUAUUUCUGUUAUUUUGUAUACGGCGGUAUUUUGCUAUUUGUUAUUUUGCUGUCGGACUAAGUCGUAAUCUCCUACUUCAGAAUUGAUUUUCUUGGCAUGAUUCCGUCUAUCUGCAUACUUUCAUCUUCUCUUUCUCUUCGAGUCGUUGAUAAUAGCUUUUUCAUGAUUAUCCUCAUCCUACAAG